GGGUGCAUCCCCACCAGGACCUAACUCGGUGCUGCUCUGACAGACGAUGGGAGCUGCUGACUUCCACAUCCUGGCUCUCGACUACAGAGGCUACGGGGACUCCAGUGGGCACCCCACAGAGACAGGCUUCACCACGGAUGUGCUGGCACUCUACGACUGGGCAAAAGACGGAGCGGCAACAGCAGCAUCCUCUUCUGGGGACACUCCUUGGGGACAGGGAUUGCCACCAAUGCAGCCAGGAAACUGCAGGAGGAGCGAGGGGUCCAGGUUGAUGCCGUGGUCCUGGAGUCUCCCUACACCAACAUCCGAGACGCGGCCGGCAACAUCCCCAUCACCGUGACUGGGCUUGCGUGGGUCCGUGGGCAGGGGUCACCCAGUGG
rnacentral:lncRNA from 1 species